AUUUGCCACACAUUUCUUGAUACAAAACAUCCGAUGGCUUAUUUCGGUUAUCAGAAACAUCGCCUGGAAAAGCGGUUAAGUGUUAUCAUUGUAUUGAUAUAAAAGACAGGGCGUGCUGGGACAGUUUUGUUCCAAACAAUAACUCCCACUUUGAUGUUAUCGACUGCCUCGAAGGAUGCCAAAAGUGGAGAGCUGAUAUCCACGUUGACCAGCAGAGAGUCGAACGGAAGUGUGCAAACCAACACGAAGCGGGGGAUUAUUGCCAGUCAGAAGUGAGACACGGUUUGCAGGGCGAUUUCUGCUACUGUUCAACAGACUUUUGUAAUAAUGCACGUGUAGACUCACAAACUCAUCAUUCCAUUCUGAUAUGUGUGUUAUUCGGUGCUUUUUUCAAAGAAAAUAUGCUUAGAAUGUAAUGGAAUUGAAGGUAUUGGAUUAUAAACAGACAGAUGAAUAUACCGGUACCACUGUGUCCUUGACACACAAAUCUAUAAUAUUUGGUAUAUGAUUCAGUUCGCCACUAAUUGCUAAAUUGUUGGAAGAAAGAAGCUUAUGGCGCUCCAAGUAUUGUAUUGCAGUUGGAGACUCACUUUCGCCUUCGGUCUUCGCAGCCGCAAUAUGAACAUUUGGUAUGUGAGUGUUACCACUUUUCUAUUGCGUUUCACUGGGUUCAGUGUCCUGUAGAUGAAGGCCUGCAUUCGGUCUCUUUGUGCCUCGUUAACAUCAGCGCGUAUAUCAAUACUUUCAUUAGGCUGACUCUCUCACAUUUUCUUUUAACUCCGAAAGAAAUCUUUAAGAACAUGUUAUAACGCUACCAGAAAGAACAGCAACGAACACAUACUGCAUUUUCAAUGGAACAUGGCAGAGAAUUCUUAUUAAAGUGUGGUAUAGUUGUUUAACACGCGUCGUAUAAAUGGUCGGCUACGGGUGUAUUAUUUUUCUCAUCUCUUGUCUGUUAUUUCUCUAAAUUAGAUCAUACAUGUCUUAAUGUGAUAACACGCAAAUGAAGUCCGCUUUUUUCUCUUUUUCUUUGAGAAACAGGUGAAAGCGAGAUUAAAACCGUAGAAAUUUUAUGUUGUAUAAUAUUGGCAAUUAAACGGCGGAUAUUUUAGAAGAGGUGUUACGUGACUUGGCCUGUUUAGUUAUCUGUCAAAAUAACAGUUGUAAUUGAAGCCAUUUUUUCUCUGUCUCGUGCUACCCACGAUCAACAAA
rnacentral:lncRNA from 1 species